rnacentral:rRNA from 1 species
AUUACCUCAGUACGGCGAGUGAAGCGGUAAAAGCUCAAAUUUGAAAUCUGGCUCUUUUAAGUCCGAAUUGUAAUUUGUAGAAGAUGCUUCGGGUGUGGUUCCGGUCUAAGUUCCUUGGAACAGGACGUCAUAGAGGGUGAGAAUCCCGUAUGUGACUGGAUACCUAUGCUCAUGUGAAGCUCUUUCGACAAGUCGAGUUGUUUGGGAAUGCAGCUCAAAAUGGGAGGUAUAUUUCUUCUAAAGCUAAAUAUUGGCCAGAGACCGAUAGCGCACAAGUAGAGUGAUCGAAAGAUGAAAAGCACUUUGGAAAGAGAGUUAAACAGUACGUGAAAUUGUUGAAAGGGAAGCGCUUGCAAUCAGACUUGCACUUGGUGUUCAUCAGGGUCUCGUACCCUGUGUACUUCAUCAAGUUCAGGCCAGCAUCAGUUUGAGUGGUUAGAUAAAGGCUUAGAGAAUGUGGCCCUCUUCGGGGGGUGUU